rnacentral:rRNA from 1 species
UACGUAGGGUGCGAGCGUUAAUCGGAAUUACUGGGCGUAAAGCGUGCGCAGGCGGUUCGCCAAGUCAGGUGUGAAAGUCCAGGGCUCAACCCUGGAAUGCCGGUGGAUACUGCGGGGCUAGAGUCCGGAAGGGGCGAGUGGAAUUCCUGGUGUAGCGGUGAAAUGCGCAGAUAUCAGGGGGAACACCAAUGGCGAAGGCAGCUCGCUGGGACGUGACUGACGCUGAGACGCGAAAGCGUGGGGAGCAAACAGG